UCAUUGCAUCACUUUAUAUUGCAAACUCAUGCAAUCACAUUCUUUACUUUUCUUUUACUUUUGCUAACUCUAGCAAUUAUAUUCUUUAUUCCCCUCAUUACUUUAACUUUAACAUUGUUAUCUUCAUCAUUCUUUACAUUACAUUGGUUCUUUGCAUCACACUAACUCUAGUGUCUCUUUACUUUACAUUUUCAAAUGCCACUCGAUCUAUGUCAUUGUGCCACUCGGUUCUUUUGCUCACUUUGGGUGCUCACAUAUUCUCUCAUGCAUACAUCUAGGGUUUUGACAUUAUUAGGUUCUCAACCAUCUCAUUAUGCAAGUUGCGCUUACAAUUAUGCAAUCAUCACAUUUCAUCAUUACUUUACCCUAAAAUGCAUGCA
rnacentral:lncRNA from 1 species